GUGGCUGGGGGUGAAAGGCCAAUCAAACCGGGAGAUAGCUGGUUCUCCCCGAAAGCUAUUUAGGUAGCGCCUCGUGAAUUCAUCUCCGGGGGUAGAGCACUGUUUCGGCUAGGGGGCCAUCCCGGCUUACCAACCCGAUGCAAACUGCGAAUACCGGAGAAUGUUAUCACGGGAGACACACGGCGGGUGCUAACGUCCGUCGUGAAGAGGGAAACAACCCAGACCGCCAGCUAAGGUCCCAAAGUCAUGGUUAAGUGGGAAACGAUGUGGGAAGGCCCAGACAGCCAGGAUGUUGGCUUAGAAGCAGCCAUCAUUUAAAGAAAGCGUAAUAGCUCACUGGUCGAGUCGGCCUGCGCGGAAGAUGUAACGGGGCUAAACCAUGCACCGAAGCUGCGGCAGCGACACUCAGGUGUUGUUGGGUAGGGGAGCGUUCUGUAAGCCUGUGAAGGUGGCCUGUGAGGGUUGCUGGAGGUAUCAGAAGUGCGAAUGCUGACAUAAGUAACGAUAAAGCGGGUGAAAAGCCCGCUCGCCGGAAGACCAAGGGUUCCUGUCCAACGUUAAUCGGGGCAGGGUGAGUCGACCCCUAAGGCGAGGCCGAAAGGCGUAGUCGAUGGGAAACGGGUUAAUAUUCCCGUACUUGGUGUUACUGCGAAGGGGGGACGGAGAAGGCUAUGUUGGCCGGGCGACGGUUGUCCCGGUUUAAGCGUGUAGGUGUGUGUUCCAGGUAAAUCCGGUUCACUUUAACACUGAGGCGUGACGACGAGGCACUACGGUGCUGAAGCAACAAAUGCCCUGCUUCCAGGAAAAGCCUCUAAGCAUCAGGUAACAUCAAAUCGUACCCCAAACCGACACAGGUGGUCAGGUAGAGAAUACCAAGGCGCUUGAGAGAACUCGGGUGAAGGAACUAGGCAAAAUGGUGCCGUAACUUCGGGAGAAGGCACGCUGACACGUAGGUGAAGUGAUUUACUCACGGAGCUGAAGUCAGUCGAAGAUACCAGCUGGCUGCAACUGUUUAUUAAAAACACAGCACUGUGCAAACACGAAAGUGGACGUAUACGGUGUGACGCCUGCCCGGUGCCGGAAGGUUAAUUGAUGGGGUCAGCGCAAGCGAAGCUCCUGAUCGAAGCCCCGGUAAACGGCGGCCGUAACUAUAACGGUCCUAAGGUAGCGAAAUUCCUUGUCGGGUAAGUUCCGACCUGCACGAAUGGCGUAAUGAUGGCCAGGCUGUCUCCACCCGAGACUCAGUGAAAUUGAACUCGCUGUGAAGAUGCAGUGUACCCGCGGCAAGACGGAAAGACCCCGUGAACCUUUACUAUAGCUUGACACUGAACAUUGAGCCUUGAUGUGUAGGAUAGGUGGGAGGCUUUGAAGUGUGGACGCCAGUCUGCAUGGAGCCGGCCUUGAAAUACCACCCUUUAAUGUUUGAUGUUCUAACGUGGACCCGUGAUCCGGGUUGCGGACAGUGUCUGGUGGGUAGUUUGACUGGGGCGGUCUCCUCCUAAAGAGUAACGGAGGAGCACGAAGGUUGGCUAAUCCUGGUCGGACAUCAGGAGGUUAGUGCAAUGGCAUAAGCCAGCUUGACUGCGAGCGUGACGGCGCGAGCAGGUGCGAAAGCAGGUCAUAGUGAUCCGGUGGUUCUGAAUGGAAGGGCCAUCGCUCAACGGAUAAAAGGUACUCCGGGGAUAACAGGCUGAUACCGCCCAAGAGUUCAUAUCGACGGCGGUGUUUGGCACCUCGAUGUCGGCUCAUCACAUCCUGGGGCUGAAGUAGGUCCCAAGGGUAUGGCUGUUCGCCAUUUAAAGUGGUACGCGAGCUGGGUUUAGAACGUCGUGAGACAGUUCGGUCCCUAUCUGCCGUGGGCGCUGGAGAACUGAGGGGGGCUGCUCCUAGUACGAGAGGACCGGAGUGGACGCAUCACUGGUGUUCGGGUUGUCAUGCCAAUGGCACUGCCCGGUAGCUAAAUGCGGAAGAGAUAAGUGCUGAAAGCAUCUAAGCACGAAACUUGCCCCGAGAUGAGUUCUCCCUGAGACUUUAGGUCUCCUGAAGGAACGUUGAAGACGACGACGUUGAUAGGCCGGGUGUGUAAGCGCAGCGAUGCGUUGAGCUAACCGGUACUAAUGAACCGUGAGGCUUAACCUUACAACGCCGAAG
rnacentral:rRNA from 1 species